GAUUGCGCAGCUACCAUGCAGUCGAGCGGUAGAGAGAAGCUUGCUUCUCUUGAGAGCGGCGGACGGGUGAGUAAUGCCUAGGAAUCUGCCUGGUAGUGGGGGAUAACGUUCGGAAACGAACGCUAAUACCGCAUACGUCCUACGGGAGAAAGCAGGGGACCUUCGGGCCUUGCGCUAUCAGAUGAGCCUAGGUCGGAUUAGCUAGUUGGUGGGGUAAUGGCUCACCAAGGCGACGAUCCGUAACUGGUCUGAGAGGAUGAUCAGUCACACUGGAACUGAGACACGGUCCAGACUCCUACGGGAGGCAGCAGUGGGGAAUAUUGGACAAUGGGCGAAAGCCUGAUCCAGCCAUGCCGCGUGUGUGAAGAAGGUCUUCGGAUUGUAAAGCACUUUAAGUUGGGAGGAAGGGCCAUUACCUAAUACGUGAUGGUUUUGACGUUACCGACAGAAUAAGCACCGGCUAACUCUGUGCCAGCAGCCGCGGUAAUACAGAGGGUGCAAGCGUUAAUCGGAAUUACUGGGCGUAAAGCGCGCGUAUGUGGUUUGUUAAGUUGGAUGUGAAAUCCCCGGGCUCAACCUGGGAACUGCAUUCAAAACUGACUGACUAAAGUAUGGUAUAGGGUGGUGGAAUUUCCUGUGUAUCGGUGAUUGCGUAUAUAUAGGAAAGAACACCACUGGUGAAUGCUACCACCUGUACUGUUCCUGCCACUGACGUGCGAAGCUUGGGAGCAAUCCGGAAACAUACCCACUAGCCACCCUUACACCAUGACAAUUAACGUCGGAACCAUGACUCUUCUGACAUAGACUUUCUUCUUUUA
rnacentral:rRNA from 1 species